AAGCACCAGGUAAUGACAUUGACGUGUACUUGCAACCAUUAAUUGACGAGUUGCUGAAUUUGUGGGAAGGUGUGGAAGCAUACGAUGCUUCUACAAAGCACAUUUUUAGGUUACAUGCUGCUUUGCUUUGGACAAUCAAUGAUUUUCCAGCAUUUGGUAACUUAUCAGGCAUGAGCACAAAAGGUAAAUAUGCUUGUCCUUCCUGCCACACUGAAACCUGCUACCACCGACUUAUCAAUGGCCACAAAUAUUGUUAUAUGGGACAUCGUCGCUUUUUUGCCAACACGACAUGCCUGGAGGAACAAUGCUGCUUGUUUUGAUGGCCAAAAGGAAAAACGAAGUGCUCCAACACCACUGUCAGGAGAUGACAUUAUUUCUCUGUACGGGAAGUUUGAGCAGGUGAAAUUUAGGAAAUCUGGGAAGAAAAGAAAACGCUCCAGUACAUUAUAUGGUACUUGGAAGAAGAAGAGCAUUUUUUUUCCAACUCCCUUACUGGAAUACACUGACUAUAAGACAUAACUUGGAUAUCAUGCACAUUGAGAAGAACAUUUGUGAGAGUAUUGUUGGUACUUUGCUAAAUCUCGAUGGCAAGACGAAAGAUACAGUCAAACCUCGCUUUGACAUGGAACUAAUGGGAAUACGUCCUGAACUUCAUGCAACUGUAGCCGGUGAUGGUAAAUAUAUACUCCACCCUGCUUGCUACACAAUGUCUUCACAUAAAAAAAAAGCAUUUUGUGAAUUUCUUACACAGAUCAAGGUCCCAGAUGGUUAUUCUGCAAAGGUAUCUUAUCAUGUAGAUACAGAUAAAUCUAAAAUAUCAGGGAUGAAAUGCCAUGAUUGCCAUGUGUUUUUACAUAGGUUCCUUCCAUUGUCAAUACGUGGUGUGUUGCCAGUACAAGUUUGUGAGGCAAUAAUUGAGCUCUGCAACUUUUUUUAGAGAACUUUGCUCGAAGAAGUUAGACAUGCAACUACUUAAAAACCUUGAUUCUUUUAUUGCGGUUACUCUUUGUAAAUUUGAGAAGAUAUUUUCUCCUUCCCUAUUUGAUACAAUGAUGCAUCUUCCGGUCCAUUUAGCUAAGGAAGCUAUGGCCCGGUGGACCGGUGCAAUAUCGAUGGAUGUAUCCCAUAGAACGCUUUCGAUGAAGGUUAAAAUCAUUUGUUAAAAAUAAAGCUUGCCCCGAAGGAUCAAUUGCUGAAGCUUAUAUUAUGCAAGAAUGUGUUACUUUCUGCUCAUUGUACUUGCAAGGAUUUGAAACAAGAAUUAACAGGCCAAACCGUAAUGACACUGAUGACAGUGUUAGUAACAGUGCACAGCUACAAAUAUUUGCUACAGUUGGCAGGCCACUUCUUGGAAACAAAUAUUGUGAAAUGGAACCAAGUGAGUUAGAAAAGGCUGGCAUAUAUGUACUCAAGAACUGUGAAGGGAUUUCAGAAUAUGAAAGGAUUUACCAUGAAUGUGAAAAUAUAUAGUUCACAACUAGUGGAAAUAAGAAAUAUGAUAAAGAUUUCUUCGAGUGGUUCAAGAAAUAUAUAGUGAACUGUAUUCCAAGGGAGAUCCUUCUGUCACGGAAGAGAUAUUUGAUCUAGCAAGCGGCCCUGAUUCUCGAGUGGUACAUUACUCGAGUUAUAUGAUAAAUGGAUGGAAAUUUAACAUCAAAGAGAGAGACAUGUUACUUCAAACACAAAAUAGUGGUGUAUGUGUAAACGGUGAAGACGAGAUUGGAGACAAAGAUUACUUUGGUGUGCUAACAGAUAUAGUAAGGCUAUCGUAUGGUAAGUAUCAUGUUGUGUUAUUCAAGUGCGAUUGGUGGGAUGUGCAUACUGCGCGGGGAAUUAAAAAAGAUAGGCACGGGUUUACCAUGAUAAAUACCACUAGAAAAUUGCUUGUUGAUGAACCAUAUGUUCUGGCAUCUCAA